rnacentral:lncRNA from 1 species
GUGGUUACAAGGACGCCUGAGGGUGGGAUCUGGCGGAGGUCGCUCCAGGAGAAGUAUUGUAGAAGGACGUGGUAGCGCAGGAUGUCACCUAGUGACGACGGUGGGAGGCGGCGCGUGAGGUCGGAGGAAGGGGACGUGGAGAGGUACGAGUUCGGAACGGCGAGUAAAGUAACGGGGUCGCGGCGCGUGAGAUCAGGGGCGACGGAGGUGGAGCAGAGGAGGGAGGAGAAGGAGGUAAGGUUUUGGAAGGAGGAGAGGAUGGAGGUUAUGUUGAGAGCAGAGGUGGUGGUGGUGGUGGUGAUGGUGGAGGAUAGGAGGAGGAGGAGGAGUAAAUAAAACAAUGUGAUAGGGGUAAUAUGGGAAAUGGAGACUGAAA